rnacentral:rRNA from 1 species
UCUGGUUGAUCCUGCCAGUCAUAUGCUUGUCUCAAAGAUUAAGCCAUGCAUGUCUGAGUACCUGCCGACCUUAGGUGAAACCGCGAAUGGCUCAUUAAAUCAGUCAUGAUUUACAGGAUGUUAAACAUCCUUUACUCGGAUAACUGUGGUAAUUCUAGAGCUAAUACGUGCAACUAGUCUCCGACCCCGUAGACGUCGGGCUCGUCUCGUCGUCUUCGGGGGAAGGGCGCAUUUGUUAGACCAAAAACCGGGCGAGGACCCAAAGGGAGAGGUCUAACGAGCGUGGUAACGCAGGCGAUUCCUACUCCUGUCCAACCCAUUAUGGUUUGUGGUGACUCUGGAUAACUACAGCUGAGCGCUGAGGUCUUUGUACCGGCGCCGUAUCCUCCGAGUGUCUGCCUUAUCAGCUCUCGAUUGUAGGAUAUUCGCCUACAAUGGCUGUAACGGGUAACGGGGAAUCAGGGUUCGAUUCCGGAGAGGGAGCCUGAGAAACGGCUACCACAUCUAAGGAAGGCAGCAGGCACGCAAAUUACCCACUCCCAGCUCGGGGAGGUAGUGACGAGAAAUAACGAUGUGGGACUCUUCCGAGGCCUCACAAUCGGAAUG